CUGGGGAUAUAGCUCAGUGGUAGAGUGCCUGCCACUGAGCAUGCAUGAGGCCCUGGGUUCCAUCCCCAGUCCUGAGG
rnacentral:tRNA from 1 species